CCAAACUCUCGACCAAACCAGUAGCAGUCCUUGCAGCAGCCGCUCCUCUUUGCAGCAGCAGUUCCACUCCCAGCCACCACAACUUUUCCUUCACGCCUCACGAACACCCUAUGCAGCCUCACGGUCCUCCUGCAAUCUCACAGCUGCGAGCCACCAAUAGCCUUCUAGCAGCAUCCUUAUCCCUCCCACAGCCACCUUCACGGCAAAAACUCUUGUAGCACUCCACGCACACACAACAGAAUAGAGGAGGAGGCAAUCGCUUGCAGAACCAACAGAUAGCCGUGAGCACCUCACGGCGUCCCUGCUAGCCGCAGCAGACGAAGGAGAAUUUCUUGUCGACAUUAUGGACGAAUACAUGUACACUUGGCAGGAAGUUGUGUGUUUUCGAGAUGAUUUGCUUAUGUGAAGUUACUUUUACCCUGUUUUUAAUAUCUUGCUGCUGCUAACCCUCUGCCACUGCUUGUGGUUUAAUGAUGAUGUUGUUUUGAUGUCGUGUGUUCGUGAUUGAUCGUUUGCAAUCUUUUACCAAUUUCUGGGGUCCGGGAAGAUGUCACUAAGCAAGGCUUUUGCUAAAUCUAUCGAAAAACAGGAAAGCCUCUUAGCUCACCCGCACUCUAGCACACAGCACAGACACACACAACACACACUUUAAACACAUAGUAAAACACAAACUGCACGCACACAAACGCACACUUUUUACAUAUACUUUUACACACACUAAAACACACACAUUCACACACACAGUGUCCACACACAACACACAAAAACACUCACACUACAGAUCCACACAUCCACUCAUGCAUUUAUUGUUAUUGUUUUUCUUUUUUAUGUAUUUUAAAAUUUUCCCUAUCUAUGUUUGAUUUUCAGUUUGUGUGUUUUUUGUAUUAUUUUAAUUUGUUUUCGUGUGUUUAAUCCAUUAUAUUAUGCCAGUUGCUCUUGCUCUUAUUUUGCCUAUAUCAAACAUGUUUUAUAUUUCUGCCAACAUGAUUUUUAAUUUAUGUAUUGUGGUAUUUUCAUUAUUAUGUGAUGUUUUAGUAUUUUGUUUUAUAAUGUUUAUUAUCAUGUUUAUAUCAUUUUUAUGUUCAUCUUAUAUAUAUAUAUAUAUAUAUAUAUAUAUAUAUUGUGGUAUUUAUAGGUUUAUUACUAUGUUCAUAUAUUAGUAUGUUUAUCUUUAGGUGUAGUUUAUUUGGUUUAUCUUUAUCAUUAUGUUUAUAUUACUCUUAUGGUGGUAUUUAUAUUUUAGUUUAUAAUUAUUAGUUUAUUAUUAUGGUGUUUUAGUAUUAUUAUUAGUUUAUAUGGUAUUUUUAGUAUUUACGUUCAUAUUAUAUGUUUAUUAUCAUUAUUAGGAUUAUUAUGGUAUUAUUAUUGUGUAUAUAUUUAGUAUUACUUAUUAGGGUAUUUUUUUUAGUAUUAUAAUAUAUAUGGUAUUACUUUUUAUAGUAUCUUUAGUAUCUUAAUAUAUAUAUAGUAUUAUGGUAUUUUAUUACUUAUUUUGGUAUUUGUAAUAUUUUAGUAGAUAUGUAUUCUUAUUAUUAUUAUAUGUAUUGUGGUAGUUUAAUAUCUUAGUUUAUUAUCCUAUUAUCAUGUAUUGAAACCUCCUAGAAAAUUUUGGAAAUAUUGUAAAUUAUUUAUAAAAAUUCUAUAAAUUUUAAAACAAAUCUCGGAGCUAUUUUCAUAAAAUAUUUUCUUGAUUUUUAUCCCUAUGAUUUUAACGAAAUGGUAUGAGCUCUUUGAACUUCACGUACCCCGGUUUUGAGGGAAUUUAUACACACACACACACACACACACACACACACACAUAUUGUAUAUUGUUUGUGGCUCAUUUAUUUGCACUUUGUAAAUACAUAAGGGGAGUAAAAUAAAAUAUUUUUUAAAUUUAUUUUGGGAUAAUUUCAUAAUUAAUUAGGUACCGUUCAUAAGAACGGGCGUAGGGAGUGCUCGUACCUUCCCCUCACGUAAUCAAACUCUCAAUCCCGACUUUGGUAACGCAGACCAAUUCUACCCUUAAUUGGGUAGUAAUCAAGUGUUCUAACCAUACUAAAAGGACGCCGUGACACUGUCGACGUUCACUUCAUCGAUGAUGAGGAGACUGAUGGGGAAGAUGAAACAUGGGUCGAGUACUACAGUGAAAAGGAAGACACAUUAGAAAGUGAGGAUGAUUUGACAUCCUCAAGACCGGCGGAGCCCAUCGGUUUUGAUGCGGCACCAUCAUUGUCUGAGCCAUUGGGACCUCGGCCAGACAUGGAUACCUCAGCUUGGGAUGACACGCAGGGUGAGUUGUUCACCAUGAUGAGCAGCAUUGGUCAGGUCGUGGUGUAGUGAAGAGCACGACGCUUAAGAAGCACUUGCAAAGGACGGGGUAGUGCAUUAGGAUCGACAUUCCUUCAGGCUUCACCACCCCGCGUGACAAUUAUUGCCCAACAUGGAUACGAGAGCUUGGCAUUAUAUGCCGACAGUAUGCUCUAGUCACCACCUUUAGCUGGCCGUAGGAAACUGAGGUGCAGCGCAUGGUUCUUUACCUGUGCAUCUUGGAGGAGUUCAAUAUGGACAUUCUCCACACAGACCAUGUGAAAAGGGUGGUGGACGUCCAACUAUGCAAUAAAUUUAAGACCUAUUGUGUGAAAAUGCACGAACAUUUUCGCGCGAUGGGAGAGCAAACAGAAACCCACCCGUACGAUAAGAUAUCCCAAGAGGAUUGGGAGGUGGUGUGUCGCCAUUUUCGCGAUCCACACUAUCAGGCUAUAUGUGAAAAAAAUGUUGCGAACUGCAGCAAACUCUCUACGACGCAUUGCAGUGGGUCGAAGUUAUUCGUAAAUCAUCGAAGGCAUGAUCCCGAGACGGGCGUAGAGGAGCCGCUGCAAGAUCUUUAUUAGAGAACACACCAAAAGCGCUCGGGGGAGUGGUGUGACGGUGAUGAUGGUUGAGCUGAGAGAUGCACUUGUUGCAGAGGGGAGCUAGCAAAUGACAGAUUACCAGAUAACGACUUAGGUGCUUGAGGAACAAGUGAGGGGCUAGGAGAAAGGUCUUAGAAGUGGAUACAUUGGCCCAACAGCAUCAUCUUCGAUGGGUGCGGCGACUUAUGCUAAGAUAGAAUGAGCGCGUCAAGACGCUGAGUAUCGGGUGCAUGAAAUGGUUUAGCAGAUGCCUACGAUGGAAAGAAAAACCAGUAAUUGAGAGAUAAGGUCUCCACCGUUGAAGCCAUGCUAACCGCAAUUCUGAACAGGCAAACGCAGUUUGAAGAAAUGAUGCUUCGAUCUCAACCAGAUGAUGCAGGUGGCUCCUCUCAUUAGAAGGAACUUAAAAUGAAAGAGCUUAAUGCACAUGGAAGAAAGUGAAGAUUGAAGACCCAAUUUUUAUGUUGUAAUGUAUUUCAUUUAAGCAAAUGGUCUGUAAUAGUAAUUAGGGUCUUUGGUUUGUAAUAAGCACACACACAUCACAUGUAUGGUCUAAUACAUAAACUCAAACCAAGAAUAACUAAAAAUGACCUUAGAAAGACCUUAGGGGUUUUCCAUCGACCGACGCUAGAUUUUUUCGGUGUCUUCAAAAAGGCU